AAUAGUACAAUUUAAUUUUUUUUAGUAUUAAUAUAUUUUUAAUUAUUUAUUUUAAAUUAAAAUUUAUUAGGUGGAAUUUUAAAUUUUAUAAUAAAUAUAGUAUUAAUAAUUAUUUAAUAAAUUUAGUAAUAAACUAGGAUUAGAUACCCUAUUAUUAUAAAUGUAAAAUUAAACUAGAUUAGUAGUAGUUAUGUUCUUGAAAAUUAAAAAUUUUGGCGGUUUUUUAGUCUAUUCAGAGGAACCUGUUCUGUAAAUGAUAGUCCACGAUUUGAAUGUCCUUUAUUAUUAGUUUGUAUAUCGUCGUAGUUUGAAUAUUUUAAAAGAAUUAUAAUAUUCAAAAUUUAUUUAAAUAAAAAAAAUCAGAUCAAGGUAUAGCUUAUAUAAAGGUAGAAAUGGGUUACAUUAAUUUUAAUUAUAGAUUAUUAAUUUAAAAUUAAAUAUGAAAAAGGAUUUGAUAGUAAUUUUUAAAAAAUUUUAAAAAUGAUUUUAGCUCUAAAAAAUGUACAUAUCGCCCGUCGCUUUCACUCUAAAGUGAAAUAAGUCGUAACAAAGUAGGCUUACUGGAAAGUGAGCCUAGAAAGAGCAAAUUAGAGCUUGGUUAAAGCAUUUUAUUUACAUUAAAAAGUUAAUUGUUAAAGUCAAUUUAAUUUGAUAAUAAAUUAUUAUUUUUUAUAUUAAUUUAUUUAAUUUAAAAAAAAAAAUUUAAUUUUAGUAUAUAUGAAAAAAAAUUUUUUUUAUUAUAGUUUAUAAGUAUUGUGAAAGAAAUAUUUAAUUAAUUUUAAAGAAAAUUUUUAUUUU
rnacentral:rRNA from 1 species